rnacentral:rRNA from 1 species
UACGUAGGGUGCGAGCGUUAAUCGGAAUUACUGGGCGUAAAGCGUGCGCAGGCGGUGAUGUAAGACAGGUGUGAAAUCCCCGGGCUUAACCUGGGAACUGCAUUUGUGACUGCAUCGCUGGAGUGCGGCAGAGGGGGAUGGAAUUCCGCGUGUAGCAGUGAAAUGCGUAGAUAUGCGGAGGAACACCGAUGGCGAAGGCAAUCCCCUGGGCCUGCACUGACGCUGAUGCACGAAAGCGUGGGGAGCAAACAGG